rnacentral:rRNA from 1 species
UACGUAGGGUGCGAGCGUUGUCCGGAAUUAUUGGGCGUAAAGAGCUCGUAGGCGGUCUGUCGCGUCGACCGUGAAAACUUGGGGCUUAACCCUGAGCUUGCGGUCGAUACGGGCAUGACUGGAGUUCGGCAGGGGAGACUGGAAUUCCUGGUGUAGCGGUGAAAUGCGCAGAUAUCAGGAGGAACACCGGUGGCGAAGGCGGGUCUCUGGGCCGAUACUGACGCUGAGGAGCGAAAGCGUGGGGAGCGAACAGG